rnacentral:rRNA from 1 species
ACGCUGGCGGCACGCCUAACACAUGCAAGUCGAACGAAGUAGCAAUACUUAGUGGCAGACGGGUGAGUAACAUGUGGGUAUCUACCCUUUGGCCUGGAAUAACACGAGGAAACUUGUGCUAAUACUGGAUAAGUCUUUACGGAGAAAGCUUUAUGCACCAUUGGAUGAGCCCGCACUUGAUUAGUUUGUUGGUGGGGUAAUGGCCUACCAAGACUUUGAUCAAUAGCUGAUUUGAGAGGAUGAUCAGCCACAUUGGGACUGAGACACGGCCCAAACUCCUACGGGAGGCAGCAGUGGGGAAUCUUGCACAAUGGAGGAAACUCUGAUGCAGCGAUGCCGCGUGAGUGAAGAAGGCCCUUGGGUUGUAAAGCUCUUUCGUCGGGGAAGAAAAUGACUGUACCCGAAUAAGAAGGUCCGGCUAACUUCGUGCCAGCAGCCGCGGUAAUACGAAGGGACCUAGCGUAGUUCGGAAUUACUGGGCUUAAAGAGUUCGUAGGUGGUUGAAAAAGUUGGUGGUGAAAUCCCAGAGCUUAACUCUGGAACUGCCAUCAAAACUUUUCAGCUAGAGUUUGAUAGAGGAAAGCAGAAUUUCUA